rnacentral:rRNA from 1 species
UACGGAGGGUGCAAGCGUUGCUCGGAAUUAUUGGGCGUAAAGGGUAGGUAGGUGGUCUUAUUUGUCUGGGGUGAAAGCCUUGAGCUUAACUCAAGAAGUGCCCCAGAAACGGUAAGACUAGAGUCCUGGAGAGGGUCGUGGAAUUCCUGGUGUAGCGGUGGAAUGCGCAGAUAUCAGGAGGAACACCGGUGGCGAAGGCGGGUCUCUGGGCCGUUACUGACGCUGAGGAGCGAAAGCGUGGGGAGCGAACAGG